GCAGCUUCGCUCGAACAAUAACCACAGCAAUUUCAAACCCAAACCUCAAACAACCAACCUCAAUCCAUAUUAAAACUAGAUCAAUCAGAAAAUCUUUUCAGGAACUGAAAACUUGAGAAAUCAAAGAAUGAGUUUCAAGGAAACAAUAGUUUUUCUCCAAUUUUCAGCCAUUUUCUAUUUUUCUGAAUUUUAUCUAUUUUCAGG
rnacentral:lncRNA from 1 species